CAAUCAAACCGGGAGAUAGCUGGUUCUCCCCGAAAGCUAUUUAGGUAGCGCCUCGUGAAUUCAUCUCCGGGGGUAGAGCACUGUUUCGGCUAGGGGGCCAUCCCGGCUUACCAACCCGAUGCAAACUGCGAAUACCGGAGAAUGUUAUCACGGGAGACACACGGCGGGUGCUAACGUCCGUCGUGAAGAGGGAAACAACCCAGACCGCCAGCUAAGGUCCCAAAGUCAUGGUUAAGUGGGAAACGAUGUGGGAAGGCCCAGACAGCCAGGAUGUUGGCUUAGAAGCAGCCAUCAUUUAAAGAAAGCGUAAUAGCUCACUGGUCGAGUCGGCCUGCGCGGAAGAUGUAACGGGGCUAAACCAUGCACCGAAGCUGCGGCAGCGACGCUGAUGCGUUGUUGGGUAGGGGAGCGUUCUGUAAGCCUGCGAAGGUGGCCUGUGAGGGUUGCUGGAGGUAUCAGAAGUGCGAAUGCUGACAUAAGUAACGAUAAAGCGGGUGAAAAGCCCGCUCGCCGGAAGACCAAGGGUUCCUGUCCAACGUUAAUCGGGGCAGGGUGAGUCGACCCCUAAGGCGAGGCCGAAAGGCGUAGUCGAUGGGAAACGGGUUAAUAUUCCCGUACUUGGUGUUACUGCGAAGGGGGGACGGAGAAGGCUAUGUUGGCCGGGCGACGGUUGUCCCGGUUUAAGCGUGUAGGUGUGUGUUCCAGGUAAAUCCGGUU
rnacentral:rRNA from 1 species